UACGAAGGGGGGCUAGCGUUGUUCGGAAUUACUGGGCGUAAAGCGCACGUAGGCGGAUCUUUAAGUCAGAGGUGAAAUCCCAAGGCUCAACCUUGGAACUGCCUUUGAUACUGGGGAUCUUGAGUCCGGAAGAGGUGAGUGGAACUGCGAGUGUAGAGGUGAAAUUCGUAGAUAUUCGCAAGAACACCAGUGGCGAAGGCGGCUCACUGGUCCGGUACUGACGCUGAGGUGCGAAAGCGUGGGGAGCAAACAGG
rnacentral:rRNA from 1 species